GCCUGCCUAGCUCAAUCGGAUAGAGCGUCAGACUCUUAUGCAGGUUGGCUAGCUAUAUAUCUUGAUCUGAAGGCUGCGAGUUCGACCCUCGCGGUGGGCU